CCCACAGAGGCCAAGUUUGACGCAGUCUUCCACCCGAACUUACGCACGUUUGGACUGAAGGGUUUAGCCACGAGAUCGUCUGUUGCGAUUCCUGUCCCCAUCCGCAACAAGAAACCAGGAUUGUUCUCCAGUCUCUGGCACCAUUUUAUCAUGUGAAGCUGUACAUGUUCGGUCGGCGGGGAAACCAUCGAACCCUUAAAAGCGCCAGCAGCAGGUGAGGACCAACAUAUGGGACGAGCUGAAGGAGGACAACAACUCCAGCAGCUGUUUGUUGUAGCCGAGCCA